rnacentral:rRNA from 1 species
GAUGAACGCUGGCGGCGUGCCUAAUACAUGCAAGUCGAGCGAACAGACGAGGAGCUUGCUCCUCUGACGUUAGCGGCGGACGGGUGAGUAACACGUGGAUAACCUACCUAUAAGACUGGGAUAACUUCGGGAAACCGGAGCUAAUACCGGAUAAUAUAUUGAACCGCAUGGUUCAAUAGUGAAAGACGGUUUUGCUGUCACUUAUAGAUGGAUCCGCGCCGCAUUAGCUAGUUGGUAAGGUAACGGCUUACCAAGGCAACGAUGCGUAGCCGACCUGAGAGGGUGAUCGGCCACACUGGAACUGAGACACGGUCCAGACUCCUACGGGAGGCAGCAGUAGGGAAUCUUCCAAUGGGCGAAAGCUUGACGGAGCAACGCCGCGUGAGUGAUGAAGGUCUUCGGAUCGUAAAACUCUGUUAUUAGGGAAGAACAAAUGUGUAAGUAACUAUGCACGUCUUGACGGUACCUAAUCAGAAAGCCACGGCUAACUACGUG